rnacentral:rRNA from 1 species
UACAGAGGUCUCGAGCGUUAGGCGGAAUCACUGGGCUUAAAGCGUGUGUAGGUGGAUCGUUAAGUACCUUGUGAAAUCCCACGGCUUAACCGUGGAAUCUGCUUGGUAUACUGGGCGGUCUUGAGCCAGCUAGGGGCUACCGGAACAAAUGGUGGAGCGGUGAAAUGCGUAGAUAUCAAUUUGGAACGCCAAUGGUGAAAACAGGUAGCUGGGGCUGUGCUGACACUGGAGAACACGGAAAGCCAGGGGAGCAAAACGGG